GUGAGCAGAAGUGUCUUCUCUGCAGUUACCAGAUAGCAGUCAUGUGGUCCCACCCCUUCCCCCAGCCCUGCCUCGAGAUGUCAGAGGAAACCCAAAAGAAGAAAUUGUCUGCAGUCAAGAGAAAGUUGAGAGAAUAUCAACAGAAGAACUGCCCUGGUACUCUUGCAGCAGCAAAGAUGAAGAAAAAAAUUAAAACUGGCCAUACCCCUAAGGCAAUCACCUCUGGUGGUUGUCUCUCUGAAAAUCAUUCCUGUCUAAUUCUACAGCUCAGUGGAAUCCAAGGUCCCAGAAAGGACCAAGAGGCUGCUAGAGUCAUAACUAGGAGUACCUACCUCCCCUCCAACUUCUCCUAGCAGGCCUAGCCUCACGCCAGCAGUUAAAGUCUUACGCCAGCAGAUCAAGCCUCACAUAAGCAGACCAUGCCCGACACCAGGAUGCCAAGACUCAAACCAGCAGACCAAGUUUCUAACCAAUAGGCCAAACCUCCUAUCAGCAGGCCAUGCCUCACGCCUCCAGGACAAGAAACAUGCCACUAGUUCAAGCCUCACACCAGAAGGCCAAGCCUAAAACCAGUAGGCCAGUCCUCAAAUCAGCAGGCCUACCCUCAUACCAGCAGGCCAAGCCUAACUUCAGGAGGCCCACCUCACUCCACCAGGCUAAGACUUUCUCCACCAGGCCAAGCCUCACACCAGGAAGCCAAUCUUUACCCCAACAGGCUAAGCCUCACUCCAGCAGGCCAAACCUGAAGCCAUCUGACUAAACCUCAUGCCAGCAGGCCAAGCCUCAUGCUACCAUGCCAAGCCUCACAGCAGUAGGCUAAGCCUCACCUCACCAUUCCAAGCCUCACAUCACCAGGUCAAACCUCCCAACAGCAGGCCAAGCCUCACAAAAGCAGGCCAAGCCUCAAGCAACUAUGCCAAGCCUCACAAAAGCAGGCCAAGGCUCAUGCCAGCAUUCCAAGCCUCAUGCCACCAGGAAAAGCCUCACGCCACUAGGUCAAGCCUUAUGUCAACAGGCCAAGCCUCAUGCCAGCAGUCCAAACCUCACUCCAUCAAGCUAAACCUCACUCCACCAGGUCAAUCCUCACACCACCAGGCUAAGCCUCACACCAGGAGGCCAAGGCUCACCCCACCAAGCUAAGCCUCAUGCCAGUAGGCCAAGCCUGAUGCCAUCUGGUUAGGCCUCAUGCCACAAGGCCAAGACUCACACCAGCACUCUAUGCCUCAAUCCACGAGGCUAAGCCUCACACCAGCUGGCUAAGCCUCACACCAGCAGGCCAAGCCUCAAACCAGCAGGCGAAGCCUCACACUAGCAUGUCAAGCCUUAUACUACCAGGUCAAGCCUCACACCAGUAGACCAAGCCUCACCCUACCAUGCUAAGCCUCAUGCCAGCAUGCCAAGCCUCAUGCAAGUAGGCCAAGCCUCACUUCACCAGGCCAAGCCUCAUUCUACCAGGCCAAGCCUCACACUACCAGGCAAAGCCUCACACCACCAGGCAAAACCUCACCCUGCCAAGCUAAGCUUCAUGCCAGGAGGCCAAGCCUCAAGCUAAACCCAGUUGUGCUAAAAGGACAAGAUGUGAUUCAGCCUCCUGAUAC